GAUCACCAUCAAGAUUUCUAUUAUUUGCAGUCAGUAACAAAGAUUCAUUCUUGUGUCAAUCACACAACAAGGAGAAUCUUUGUCACUUCAUGUAAUUAAUAGCUGAGCCACGCAUGGAAAG
rnacentral:pre_miRNA from 13 species